rnacentral:rRNA from 1 species
UACGUAGGGUGCAAGCGUUAAUCGGAAUUACUGGGCGUAAAGCGUGCGCAGGCGGUGAUGUAAGACAGUUGUGAAAUCCCCGGGCUCAACCUGGGAACUGCAUCUGUGACUGCAUUGCUGGAGUGCGGCAGAGGGGGAUGGAAUUCCGCGUGUAGCAGUGAAAUGCGUAGAUAUCAAGUGGAACACCAGUGGCGAAGGCGAAUCCCUGGAAAAUACCUGACACGUGAGGCACGAAAGCUAGGGGAGCAACAGG